rnacentral:rRNA from 1 species
GACAGAGGGGGCAAGCGUUGCUCGGAAUUACUGGGCGUAAAGGGCGCGUAGGCGGGAUGGCAAGUCGGUCGUGAAAUCCCUCGGCUCAACCGAGGAACGUCGAUCGAUACUGCUGUUCUUGAGGAUUGCAGAGGAGACUGGAAUUCCCGGUGUAGCGGUGAAAUGUGUAGAGAUCGGGAGGAACACCGGUGGCGAAGGCGGGUCUCUGGGCAAUUCCUGACGCUGAACUGCGAAAGCUAGGGGAGCGAACGGG